CCCUCAGGACUGCAGAGCCUGCAGGUGCACAGACUCGCUCAAAGGUUUCUGAACCCAGUGGAUGUACAGUGCAAUUCAGCCACCUGGGGAU
rnacentral:lncRNA from 1 species